CCCUUAGAUGUCCGGGGCUGCACGCGCGCUACACUGAAGGAAUCAGCGUGCUAAAACCAUUGUCGAAAGGCAUUGGUAAACCCAUUAAAAUCCUACGUGAUUGGGAUCGGGAAUUGCAAUUAUUUCCCUUGAACGAGGAAUUCCCAGUAAGUGUGGGUCAUAAGCUCGCGUUGAUUACGUCCCUGCCCUUUGUACACACCGCCCGUCGCUGCCCGGGACUGUGCCGUUUCGAGAAAAGCGGGGACUGCUGCUGUCGGGGCUUUCGGGCCUUGGCUUCGGUGGAAACCGCUUUAAUCGCAGUGGCUUGAACCGGGCAAAAGUCGUAACA
rnacentral:rRNA from 1 species